UCUUAUUUAGUAUAAAUAGUAUAUUAAGCUUCCAACUUAAAGGCUUUAACAAAUAAAAAUAAGAA
rnacentral:tRNA from 1 species